AUUGAACGCUGGCGGCAUGCCUUACACAUGCAAGUCGAACGGCAGCACGGAGCUUGCUCUGGUGGCGAGUGGCGAACGGGUGAGUAAUAUAUCGGAACGUACCCAAGAGUGGGGGAUAACGUAGCGAAAGUUACGCUAAUACCGCAUACGAUCUAAGGAUGAAAGCAGGGGAUCUUCGGACCUUGUGCUCCUGGAGCGGCCGAUAUCUGAUUAGCUAGUUAGUGAGGUAAAGGCUCACCAAGGCAUCGAUCAGUAGCUGGUCUGAGAGGACGACCAGCCACACUGGAACUGAGACACGGUCCAGACUCCUACGGGAGGCAGCAGUAGGGAAUAUUGGACAAUGGGGGCAACCCUGAUCCAGCCAUGCCGCGUGAGUGAAGAAGGCCCUCGGGUUGUAAAGCUCUUUUGUCCGGAAAGAAAAGCAAUCGGUUAAUACCCGGUUGUUCUGACGGUACCGGAAGAAUAAGCACCGGCUAACUUCGUGCCAGC
rnacentral:rRNA from 1 species